rnacentral:rRNA from 1 species
UACGAAGGGAGCUAGCGUUGUUCGGAAUCACUGGGCGUAAAGCGCACGUAGGCGGAUGUGUCAGUCAGGGGUGAAAUCCCGGAGCUCAACUUCGGAACUGCCUUUGAUACAGCACGUCUUGAGUCCGAUAGAGGUGGGUGGAAUUCCUAGUGUAGAGGUGAAAUUCGUAGAUAUUAGGAAGAACACCGGUGGCGAAGGCGGCCCACUGGUCCGGUACUGACGCUGAUGUGCGAAAGCGUGGGGAGCAAACAGG